CAGGAAGUCAUUGUUACU
rnacentral:miRNA from 1 species